rnacentral:rRNA from 1 species
AGAGUUUGAUCCUGGCUCAGGAUGAACGCUGGCGGCGUGCUUAACACAUGCAAGUCGAGCGAAGCACCUUGACGGAUUUCUUCGGAUUGAAGCCUUGGUGACUGAGCGGCGGACGGGUGAGUAACGCGUGGGUAACCUGCCUCAUACAGGGGGAUAACAGUUGGAAACGGCUGCUAAUACCGCAUAAGCGCACAGUACCGCAUGGUACGGUGUGAAAAACUCCGGUGGUAUGAGAUGGACCCGCGUCUGAUUAGGUAGUUGGUGGGGUAACGGCCUACCAAGCCGACGAUCAGUAGCCGACCUGAGAGGGUGACCGGCCACAUUGGGACUGAGACACGGCCCAAACUCCUACGGGAGGCAGCAGUGGGGAAUAUUGCACAAUGGGGGAAACCCUGAUGCAGCGACGCCGCGUGAGCGAUGAAGUAUUUCGGUAUGUAAAGCUCUAUCAGCAGGGAAGAAAAUGACGGUACCUGACUAAGAAGCCCCGGCUAACUACGUGCCAGCAGCCGCGGUAAUACGUAGGGGGCAAGCGUUAUCCGGAUUUACUGGGUGUAAAGGGAGCGUAGACGGCAUUGCAAGUCUGAAGUGAAAGCCCGGGGCUCAACCCCGGGACUGCUUUGGAAACUGUUUUACUAGAGUGCUGGAGAGGUAAGCGGAAUUCCUAGUGUAGCGGUGAAAUGCGUAGAUAUUAGGAGGAACACCAGUGGCGAAGGCGGCUUACUGGACGAUGACUGACGUUGAGGCUCGAAAGCGUGGGGAGCAAACAGGAUUAGAUACCCUGGUAGUCCACGCCGUAAACG